AAUCCAUAGGUUAAUGAGGCGAACCGGGGGAACUGAAACAUCUAAGUACCCCGAGGAAAAGAAAUCAACCGAGAUUCCCCCAGUAGCGGCGAGCGAACGGGGAGGAGCCCAGAGCCUGAAUCAGCAUGUGUGUUAGUGGAAGCGUCUGGAAAGGCGCGCGAUACAGGGUGACAGCCCCGUACACAAAAGCGCAUGUGCUGUGAGCUCGAUGAGUAGGGCGGGACACGUGGUAUCCUGUCUGAAUAUGGGGGGACCAUCCUCCAAGGCUAAAUACUCCUGACUGACCGAUAGUGAACCAGUACCGUGAGGGAAAGGCGAAAAGAACCCCGGCGAGGGGAGUGAAAAAGAACCUGAAACCGUGUACGUACAAGCAGUGGGAGCACAGGUUUACCUGUGUGACUGCGUACCUUUUGUAUAAUGGGUCAGCGACUUAUAUUCUGUAGCAAGGUUAACCGAAUAGGGGAGCCGUAGGGAAACCGAGUCUUAAU
rnacentral:rRNA from 1 species